rnacentral:rRNA from 1 species
AACCUGGUUGAUCCUGCCAGUAGUCAUAUGCUUGUCUCAAAGAUUAAGCCAUGCAUGUCUAAGUAUAAAUACCUUAUACUGUUUUAACUGCGUACAGCUCAUUAUAUCAGCUAUUAUUCAUUUGACGGUCACCUCCUACAUGGAUAUCCGUUGGGAAACCAGAGCUAAUACAUGCGUAAAGUCCUGAGUCUUCGGAUAAGGGAUGUAUUUAUUAGAUUAAAAACUAGUUCCUGUUCUGCAGGAUUUAUGUUGAAUCAUAAUAACUGUUCGAAUCCCAGUAGCCAUUGGCGGGGAUAGUUCAUUCAGAUUUCUGCCCUAUCAGCUAUCGACGGUAGUGUAGUGGACUACCGUGGCGUUAACGGGUAACGGGGAAUUAGGGUUCGAUUCCGGAGAGGAAGCCUGAGAAACGGCUACCACACCUACGGGUGGCAGCAGGCGCGCAAACUACCCAAUCCUGAUACAGGGAGGUGGUGACAAGAAAUACCGACGUCCGUUCGUUUUACGAACGGUGAGCGGAAUAAGAACAAUCUAGUAGAUCCUUACCGAAUUCCACU